rnacentral:other from 1 species
UAAGUCCUGAUGUGUACGUUGUACACCUAGUUUUGACCUAACAUUUUUUCUACGGGAGCUUGUGUUUCUAGACAGAGUAAACGCCUCUAACUCGGAUACUUGAGGACUUACAAACCUCUGGAAUAAAGCACCCACCUGCUUAGGGCGGGCUCAAAACAAGGGAAAUGGCGACGGCACAAUUGGGACUGCU